AGUGAACGCUGGCGGCGUGCCUAAUACAUGCAAGUCGAACGAAGUGGCGCACGGGUGAGUAAUAUAUAGUUAAUCUGCCCUACACAGAGGAACAACAGUUGGAAACGACUGCUAAUACCUCAUAGUGUAGGAUGAGACUAUAUCGUAUCAGCUAGUUGGUAAGGUAAUGGCUUACAAAGGGUAUGACGCGUAACUGGUGUGAGAGGAUGGUCAGUGACAUUGGGACUAGGACGCGGUCCAAACUCUUACGGGAGGCAGCAGUGAGGGAUAUUGCGACAUGGGGGAAACCCUGACGGAGUAAGGACGCUAGGGGGAUGACACUUUUCAGAACGUAAACUCCUUUUGGCAGGAAAGCGGUACCUAAUAAGUAAGCGCCGGCUAACUCCGUGCCAGCAGCCGCGGUAAUAC
rnacentral:rRNA from 1 species